GAUUAAGUUAUUAAGGGCGCACGGUGGAUGCCUUGGCACUAGAAGCCGAUGAAGGACGUUACUAACGACGAUAUGCUUUGGGGAGCUGUAAGUAAGCUUUGAUCCAGAGAUUUCCGAAUGGGGAAACCCAGCAUGAGUUAUGUCAUGUUAUCGAUAUGUGAAUACAUAGCAUAUCAGAAGGCACACCCGGAGAACUGAAACAUCUUAGUACCCGGAGGAAGAGAAAGAAAAUUCGAUUCCCUUAGUAGCGGCGAGCGAAACGGGAAGAGCCCAAACCAACAAGCUUGCUUGUUGGGGUUGUAGGACACUCUAUACGGAGUUACAAAGGACGACAUUAGACGAAUCAUCUGGAAAGAUGAAUCAAAGAAGGUAAUAAUCCUGUAGUCGAAAAUGUUGUCUCUCUUGAGUGGAUCCUGAGUACGACGGAGCACGUGAAAUUCCGUCGGAAUCUGGGAGGACCAUCUCCUAAGGCUAAAUACUCUCUAGUGACCGAUAGUGAACCAGUACCGUGAGGGAAAGGUGAAAAGCACCCCGGAAGGGGAGUGAAAUAGAACCUGAAACCGUGUGCUUACAAGUAGUCAGAGCCCGUUAAUGGGUGAUGGCGUGCCUUUUGUAGAAUGAACCGGCGAGUUACGAUUUGAUGCAAG
rnacentral:rRNA from 1 species